CUUAACGCACUGAGAACACAAUGACAGAUCUGAAGAGUUUGUUUUAGGAGAUUCAAGUGUUCAGUUCUCCUUCAGUUAUUCCUCUGCUAAUAAUCAUCAGUGGUACCGUCAGUAUCCCAGAAGAGCUCCUGGAUUUAUUGUGCUCAUUACUGAGGGUUAUUGUAGGCUUACAGAUUCUGUUCCUGCCUGAAAAUGACGGCAAAGGGAGAGCCUACCCCUGGAUGUAUAGACAGGGUCUGACCUGACGGUGCUGGGGAGGAUCAGGAUGAACACAACGGUAUCUGUCAAAAGAGCAAAGAGAUGACUUACAGUGUCUGACACACAAACACAGAUCUGAAAGACUCGACACAGAGAUCAUCUUACUUAACAUGAAUGAAUGCUGUUUACUGAUUCUUAUCAUGACAACAGGUUUGGUGACUGGGGACAAAAUCGAGCCAGAUAAAGGGACUACAAUCCGUAAAAGAAAAAGAAAAUAUACAACUGAGCUGUUUAUAUAGUUCAACCAGCAGUGAUGUUCGACUUUAUUGGUACAGAAAGUUUUCUCACAGUGAACUUCUGUAUUUAGCGUAUAAAGGUGCUCGAUCAUUAAGUGCUGAAAAUUCUUCAGAUCAACGAUUUAAAGCAACAGCAUCAGACACAUCCACUGAACUCAAUAUUAAUGAUGUGACUCUGUCAGAUUCAGCUCUAUAUUACUGUGCUCUGAGAGUUGGAGCCCAGUGAUACAAAACAUGAAACACGUCGUACAAAAACCUAAUAGAUGUUUUUACAUUAAACCUGUAAUACAAACCAUAAUCAAAACCACAAUCUAUUCAGCCCCAAAUAUAAUAAAACAUGUGGU